rnacentral:rRNA from 1 species
CGCCCUGUUAACAAAAACAUGUCCUUUUGAAUAUAUUUAAGGUCUAACCUGCCCAAUGAGGAUUUAAAUGGCCGCAGUAUUUUGACUGUGCAAAGGUAGCAUAAUUAUUAGUUUUUUAAUUGAAAGCUUGUAUGAAGGGUUGGACGAGAUAAAAUCUGUCUUUAUUUAAAUUAUAGUAGAAUUUAACUUUUAAGUCAAAAGGCUUAAAUUUAUGUAAAAGACGAGAAGACCCUAUAGAUCUUUAUUUAAUAAAAAUUUUGAUAAUUUAGGAUUAAUUUAGUUUAAAGUUUUUAUUGAAUUUUAUUGGGGUAAUAUAAAGAUUAAAAAAAUUCUUUUUAUUUAUAACAUUAAUUUAUGAAUAUAUGAUCCAAUAUUAUUGAUUAUAAGAUUAAGUUACCUUAGGGAUAACAGCGUAAUUUUUUUGGAGAGCUCAUAUCGAUAAAAAAGUUUGCGA